GCUCGACCUGUGGUUGAUUUAAGUCAUAAUUUUGAACAGCUAGUGAGAGAACAGAAAAUCGCUGGGCCAAGUCACACCUGUACUUUUUUUUCCCCCCUCCUCUGUCUCCAACCUCUUUCUAGGUUCUUCACACACCCCCAUUCGGCGUAGUACCCAGAGAGCUCAAGAUGUGUGGCAGUUUUCGGAUGGAAGCUCGAGAGCCCUUAAGUUCUGAGAAAAUUUGAAGUCCCCAGGGCCGGGGUGGACCCGUACCGCCCAGCCGACGUUCAGCGUGGUCUGUCAUCCUGCUAGUUUGUGAUGUUUUCUGACAGUAGCCUCCAAGAAGCCGUUGUGCGAAGACAGAAUCCUGCGGAGUCCUUCCAGCCUGGGCCUGCAGUGCCAUUUUAUUUAUAUUUUUUAAUAAAAAGUAAAAACAAAAAAACAGACCCCCAUUGGAACAGUGAAUCAGUCCCAUACAGAGGGCCCUCGGACCAUCGCUGUCCCAAGCGAUGUCAAGCCCUUUUGAAACCAGCCAACCUAAUUACCCGUAUUGUGGAAAUGAGCAUGAGCCCCCCCCACCCCUUGUUUCUAUACAUUCUCUGUUGUCUUUUAAAAAGUGUGCUUAACAUUGACACAAUAAAUGUUGGAGCUUUAGGUGGUGUUUGCUUGUUCUUUAAUUUUUAAUGCUCAGAAGACUGCAGCUGCUUAUGACUUUGUAUUUCUGUACCUGUUUC
rnacentral:lncRNA from 1 species